CCUACGGGAGGCAGCAGUGAGGAAUAUUGGUCAAUGGGCGUAAGCCUGAACCAGCCAAGUCGCGUGAGGGAUGAAGGUUCUAUGGAUCGUAAACCUCUUUUAUAAGGGAAUAAAGUGCGGGACGUGUCCUGUUUUGUAUGUACCUUAUGAAUAAGGAUCGGCUAACUCCGUGCCAGCAGCCGCGGUAAUACGGAGGAUCCGAGCGUUAUCCGGAUUUAUUGGGUUUAAAGGGUGCGUAGGCGGAUUGUUAAGUCAGUUGUGAAAGUUUGCGGCUCAACCGUAAAAUUGCAGUUGAUACUGGCAGCCUUGAGUGCAGUAGAGGUGGGCGGAAUUCGUGGUGUAGCGGUGAAAUGCUUAGAUAUCACGAAGAACUCCGAUUGCGAAGGCAGCCUGCUAAGCUGCAACUGACAUUGAGGCUCGAAAG
rnacentral:rRNA from 1 species